UCCAUAGAUACGCCAAUGGU
rnacentral:siRNA from 1 species